UACGGGGGGAGCAAGCGUUGUUCGGAUUUACUGGGCGUAAAGCGCGCGCAGGCGGCGGCGUUGGCCCGGCGUGAAAGCCCCCGGCUCAACCGGGGAGAGUCGUCGGGGACCGCACCGCUUGAGGGCGGUAGGGGCUGGUGGAAUGCCUGGUGUAGUGGUGAAAUGCGUAGAGAUCAGGCAGAACACCUGGGGCGAAGGCGGCCAGCUGGGCCGUCCCUGACGCUGAGGCGCGAAGGCGUGGGGAGCGAACGGG
rnacentral:rRNA from 1 species